rnacentral:rRNA from 1 species
UACGUAGGGUGCAAGCGUUGUCCGGAAUUAUUGGGCGUAAAGAGCUCGUAGGCGGUCUGUCGCGUCGGAUGUGAAAAUCCAGGGCUCAACCCUGGACCUGCUUUCGAUACGGGCAGACUAGAGGUAUGCAGGGGAGAACGGAAUUCCUGGUGUAGCGGUGAAAUGCGCAGAUAUCAGGAGGAACACCGGUGGCGAAGGCGGUUCUCUGGGCAUUACCUGACGCUGAGGAGCGAAAGUGUGGGGAGCGAACAGG